CAUCACGAGUGACUGUUGCAGCUGUGGGUGCUACAAAUACAGCACAUGGUAGCUGCUUGUAGCGACGGACACCACCGAGCCCCAAACUCCGUGCUUGCUUGAACUCUUAGUUUACACGUUGAAGUUAUAUAACUUUUACUUUAGUCAAGUUUUGUUGUAAAACACCUACUUUGAAUUUAUUUGUCUUCGUGCGAGGCUGUGAGCGAGCGUUAUUUAGCGAGUUUAAAGACUUUAACAACACUUGUCCCAGUCCGCCUGCAGCAACUAAGCAGAAGCUAGCAUGUCGACCGGCACAAAUGAAAAAAGCUGCCCCAUCCCCACCAGGGUGCUCACCCUGAAGGACUGGUCCCAGCUACCCGACUGUUACAGCCAGACACCCGGGGGUACCCUCUUCUCCACCACGCCUGGAGGUACUCGCAUUAUCUAUGACAGGAAGUUUCUGUUGGAUUGUCGAAAUUCCCCUCUUGCCCGCACCCCCCCAUGCUGUUUGCCCCAGAUUCCAGGGGUAACAGUACCUGCUACACACCCCAUGGGGAAAUUGCAGGAUCUCAAAGAGGAGGCCGAGGAGGAAGAGAAGGACAUUGCAGCCCUCUCCAGAGGAUAAAAGACCUCAUUUUGGCAGUGCUUCUCUUGUGGGGCUUUUCGUGGCACUGUAACCAAAGGUUUUGGCAUCAUAGAUGACAACCAGUUUGAGAUGGACAUCUGAGCUCCAGUAAUACCUCCUGUGGAGAGUUAAAACACCCCCAAGGUCAUUCAUGACUGUAAUGCAUUUCAUAUAAAGCUUUUUUUCAACUUUUUUUUUUUUUUUUUUUUUUUUUUUAAUAAAAGCUUUUGUGAGGAACCAAAAGAAUAGAAGAAAGCUGUAGGGUGUUUUUGACCCUAAAAAAGUGUGUUAAGUAAAGAAAUGGUAUUAAAGGGGUUGGUUGGUUGCUCACUGCAGCAGGAUUGGGGAAAAAAUCCAUUUUGAUUUCACUUUUUUUUAAUUUUUUUUUUAUCUUUUGUAAAUAAGAAUAUUGUACUAUGUAGCCUAUUUUCUAAGUUGGAGAAUAUAAGAUGAUUACAUUAUGACAUGUAGAGUUUUUUCACUGCAGGCAUCAGUUUUGUUUUGUUGUAUUUCCCCCCCAAAAAGGAUGGCUAAUUUUCUUUGUGAUAGGCAAAGUGUCUCCUAAUGUUGGGGGUCAGGGCCCACAGAAAAUCAGCUCAUACUCUGUUUUGUAUGGAGGAAGAGAUGACUUGUGAAUAAUUUCAAAUAAAGGCUGUUCAAACUGUCA